GCGGUGGUAGCUCAAUGGUAGAGUGCGAGCGUGCCAAGCUCGCGACAGGGGUUCGAUUCCCCUUCACCGCU
rnacentral:tRNA from 2 species